rnacentral:rRNA from 1 species
AAUUUUUGGCAAUGGGGGAACCUGGCAGAGCAAUACCGCCUGAAGGAAUUAAAAUUUUCAUAUGGUAAAAACCUCUGUAGUAAGGAAGAAAUUUCGGUGUUACCGGUACAUUCAGCAUAGGCUCAGUCUGUGUCAGCAGCAGCGGUAAUGGGAAUGAGGCAAGUGCUAUCCGGAAUCGGUGGGAGUAAGAGUUCAGUAGGCGGUAUAUUUUAUCUAUUAUAGAAUUGAGAAGUUCAGGCUCAAAACUGUACUAGAAACUAAUAAACUUGAGGAUGAUAGGGAGAAGGGGAAUUUCCAUUGGAGCGGUAAAAUUGUAGAUAGUGGUUGGCCUACGUAGGCAAGGCGCUUUUGUGGGAUAUUUUUACACUAAGAGUGAAAACUAGGGGAACAAAUGAGAAUAGAUAUCCCUGUAGUCCUAGCCCAA